UAGCCGUAAACGAUACUCGCUAGGUGUCGGCCACGGUGCGACCGUUGUCGGUGCCGUGGGGAAGCCGUGAAGCGAGCCACCUGGGAAGUACGGCCGCAAGGCUGAAACUUAAAGGAAUUGGCGGGGGAGGCACCACAACGGGUGGAGCUUGCGGUUUAAUUUGGAUUCAACGCCGGAAAUCUUACCGGGACCGACAGCAACAUGAAGGCCAGGCUGAAGACUUUGCCGGAUUAGCUGAGAGGAGGUGCAUGGCGUAGUCGUGU
rnacentral:rRNA from 1 species